GAAUUCGCCCUUAGAGUUUGAUCCUGGCUCAGGACGAACGCUGGCGGCGUGCCUAACACAUGCAAGUCGAGCGGAGUUAUAUGUUGGAAAUCCUUCGGGGUAGAAGCUAUAUAACUUAGCGGCGGACGGGUGAGUAACGCGUGAGCAACCUGUCCCUCACUGGGGAAUAACACAUUGAAAGAUGUGCUAAUACCGCAUAAGACCACAAUGUCGCAUGACAAAGAGGUCAAAGGAAUUUAUUUCGGUGAGGGGUGGGCUCGCGUCCCAUUAGCUAGUUGGUGAGAUAACAGCUUACCAAGGCAACGAUGGGUAGCCGACCUGAGAGGGUGAUCGGCCACACUGGGACUGAGACACGGCCCAGACUCCUACGGGAGGCAGCAGUGGGGAAUAUUGGGCAAUGGGGGAAACCCUGACCCAGCAACGCCGCGUGAAGGAAGAAGGUUUUCGGAUCGUAAACUUCUGUCCUCAGUGAAGAGCAGAAGACGGUAACUGAGGAGGAAGCCCCGGCUAACUACGUGCCAGCAGCCGCGGUAAUACGUAGGGGGCAAGCGUUGUCCGGAAUGAUUGGGCGUAAAGGGCGCGUAGGCGGCCUAUUAAGUUUGGAGUGAAAGUCCCGCUUUCAAGGUGGGAAUUGCUUUGAAAAACUGAUGGGCUAGAAAGCAGGAGAGGUUAGUGGAAUUCCCGGGGUACCGGAGAAAUGCGAAAAGAAUCGGAAGGAACCCCAGUGGGAAAGGGUAUUAAUUUGGGAUGUUAAUGGACGCUGAAGCCCCAAAGUGUGGGGAACAAAACAGGAUUAAAACCCC
rnacentral:rRNA from 1 species